UACGAAGGGGGCUAGCGUUGUUCGGAUUCAUUGGGCGUAAAGGGUGCGUAGGCGGCGCGGUAAGUCGGGUGUGAAAUCUCGGAGCUUAACUCCGAAACUGCAUUCGAUACUGCCGUGCUUGAGGACUGGAGAGGAGACUGGAAUUUACGGUGUAGUGGUGAAAUGCGUAGAUAUCGUAAGGAAGACCAGUGGCGAAGGCGGGUCUCUGGACAGUUCCUGACGCUGAGGCACGAAGGUCAGGGGAGCAAACGGG
rnacentral:rRNA from 1 species